rfam:Cicer arietinum chromosome Ca7, whole genome shotgun sequence.
UUGCCUAUGAUGAUAUCAUUAUACACCAAUUACCAUCUUUCGGGACUGAUUGGCUUUUUUGCCUUGCUGAUACUUUUCUGCAAUUCUGAGGCUC